rnacentral:misc_RNA from 1 species
GGAAGUAAAAACAAGGUUUCCGUAGGUGAACCUGCGGAAGGAUCAUUCAUAAUAAAGUGUUUUAUGGCACUUUUUAAAAAUCCAUAUCCACCUUGUGUGCAAUGUUAGAUCUCGUCAAUCUUGGCGAGAUUUUUAUACAUCAGCUCAUUCUUUAACUAAUUUGUCCGAAAAAUAUUAUGAAUACUUAAUUCAAAAUACAACUUUCAACAACGGAUCUCUUGGCUCUC